rnacentral:rRNA from 1 species
UGGGGAAUAUUGGGCAAUGGGCGCAAGCCUGACCCAGCAACGCCGCGUGAAGGAAGAAGGCUUUCGGGUUGUAAACUUCUUUUAUUAAGGACGAAGCAAUGACGGUACUUAAUGAAUAAGCUCCGGCUAACUACGUGCCAGCAGCCGCGGUAAUACGUAGGGAGCAAGCGUUAUCCGGAUUUACUGGGUGUAAAGGGCGUGUAGGCGGGAGUGCAAGUCAGAUGUGAAAACUAUGGGCUCAACCCAUAGCCUGCAUUUGAAACUGUACUUCUUGAGUACUGGAGAGGCAGGCGGAAUUCCGUGUGUAGCGGUGAAAUGCGUAGAUAUACGGAGGAACACCAGUGGCGAAGGCGGCCUGCUGGACAGCAACUGACGCUGAGGCGCGAAAGCGUGGGGAGCAAACA